rnacentral:rRNA from 1 species
UAAAACGUAGGAGGCGAGCGUUAUCCGGAGUUACUGGGCGUAAAGAGCGUGUAGGCGGGUACGCAAGUUUGGCGUGAAAGCUCCCGGCUAAACUGGGAGAGUGCGCUGAAGACUGCGUGUCUAGAGGCGAGUAGAGGGACGUGGAAUUCCGGGUGUAGUGGUGAAAUGCGUAGAGAUCCGGAGGAACACCAGUGGCGAAGGCGACGUCCUGGGCUUGACCUGACGCUGAGACGCGACAGCACGGGGAGCGAACGGGAUUAGAAACCCCGGUAGUCCGUGCCGUAAACGAUGCACACUAGGUGUUCGGGCGACUACGGUCGUUUGAGUGCCGCAGCCAACGCGAUAAGUGUGCCGCCUGGGGAGUACGGUCGCAAGGCUA